rnacentral:rRNA from 1 species
GGCGAACGCUGGCGGCGUGCUUAACACAUGCAAGUCGAACGGAAAGGCCCUGCUUUUGUGGGGUGCUCGAGUGGCGAACGGGUGAGUAACACGUGAGUAACCUGCCCUUGACUUUGGGAUAACUUCAGGAAACUGGGGCUAAUACCGGAUAGGAGCUCCUGCUGCAUGGUGGGGGUUGGAAAGUUUCGGCGGUUGGGGAUGGACUCGCGGCUUAUCAGCUUGUUGGUGGGGUAGUGGCUUACCAAGGCUUUGACGGGUAGCCGGCCUGAGAGGGUGACCGGCCACAUUGGGACUGCGAUACGGCCCAGACUCCUACGGGAGGCAGCAGUGGGGAAUAUUGCACAAUGGGCGGAAGCCUGAUGCAGCAACGCCGCGUGCGUGAUGACGUCCUUCGGGUUGUAAACCGCUUUCGCCUGUGACGAAGCGUGAGUGACGGUAAUGGGUAAAGAAGCACCGGCUAACUACGUG